rnacentral:tRNA from 1 species
CGGGAACGACCGGCUUGGUGACCGGACCUGCUUUGGGUGCAGGAAGCGCGGGGUUCGAUUCCCCGGUUCCCGAC